AUUGAACGCUGGCGGCAGGCCGAACACAUCCAGGUCGAAUGAGCGGCGGACGGGGGAGUAAUGCCUGGGAAUAUGCACGAUGGAUGGGGAUAACUACUGGAAAAGGUAGCUAAUACCGCAGAUCAUAGCAUGUGCCCAGAUGGGAGUAGCUAGUCGGUGGGGUAAAGGCCCACCUAGGCGAAGAUCCCUAGCUGGUGUGAGAGGAUGACAAGCCACACUGGAACUGAGACACUGUCCAGACUCCUACGGGAGGCAGCAGGGGGGAAUAUUGCACAAUGGGCGCAAGCCUGAUGCAGCCAUGCCGCGUGUAUGAAGAAGGCCUUCGGGUUGUAAAGUACUUUCAGCGGGGAGGCGUUACCCGCAGAAGAAGCACCGGCUAACUCCGUGCCAGCAGCCGCGUUAAUUC
rnacentral:rRNA from 1 species